UCAGAGGGGAGGAAAGGGGAGGAAGAAGAGUGAGAAACAGAGAGAGAGAGAGAGAGAAGAUGAAUAGAGAGGAAUGAGAGAGCAGCAGCAGCAGAGGAGGAGGAAGGAGGGAAGACGAGAGAGGUGUAACAUGAACCAGGAGAGAGAGAGAGAGAGAGAGAGAUAAUAGUUACAUCAACUGCAUCCAACUUGGAACAUCUAUUCUCAGCCUCCAGCGGUCAGCACUCACUCUGUGUACAAGUGUCACUGUGUGUGUGUGUGUGUGUGUGUGUGUGUGUGUUUCUGUGUAUCAGCGACAAUUUCUUUUCCCCGAAUUCCCUGGAUGUAGUGAGCUUGAGGAAAAAGAAAAAAGGGAUUCAAAGUAUCUCAACAUGUUGACAUUCAAGUGUGUGUGUGUGUGUGUGUGUGUGUGUGUGUGUGUGUGUGUGUGUGUGUGUGUGUGUGUGUGUGUGUGUGUGUGUGUGUGGGAGGAAGUCGAUGUUCAGGCUGAUUUAAUGGGGAUUGACAGCAUUUUACCGUCAAAGUCAUCCAUCCAGCAGGGUACGCGGGGUGGGAAGGACGGCUGGUUUUGAUUUUGAUUUUGUUUCAGGGCUGAUAGAAAGUCAAAGAAGACGUUUCGUUCCGGGCGAAGGAGCUUCUUUCUCAGCUCUGGUGGGGAAGUUUCCGCGGGCCGGAGUAAAUAUUGACAGGUGAUGUUUGAAUGACAGUAUAACCUCAGACACGGAGCUUAACGUUUUUUUUUUUUAAGAACAUAAUAACGUAAAAAGUUGACCUAGCAUGGAGUCACCCAUUGAUUCAGGAGUAGACUCAAUGUUAAACAUGCUAACAUUGAUAAGAGGUUACAGUAUGACGUUAGCUAGUGAGUAAGCUCAGGUGACUAGACGUCCUCGAUUUCUGGGGACAGUCCCUGUAUCGGAUGACCUGUCUCCGGAAAUGUCCCUGAUUUAAGCGUUUCAUGAAUGAGAACAAAAAUGUUGUGUGCAGACGAGAACAACGAUUAUUAUGGUAGGAAGUAUGACUGAGCAUGUUGCACACAGUCCCGGAUUUUCUUACAGAAAUCGUAAGCCUAUUCAAAAUUAGCAACUAGCUAGUUUUAGCUUGUUUGCAAAAUGCAUUUAGUAGACUUUUUUCCCAUGUUGCAACAGUAGUGACCUGUCAAGUUUAAGAUAGUCAUGCUUCAAAGUAGGACAAGGUUAGCUUCCUGUUUUUGUUUAAAGUGCGGCCAUAAUCUACAAAAUCACUAUCCUGCAGAAUUGAAACAUCAUGAACGUUUGCGGCAAAGUGAUAAAUUUACCAAGAAGAGGAAAUUAACUACUAAUCUACCAUAUUUUUCGGACUAUAAGGAGCACCUAAAAUCCUUCAAUUUUCUCAAAAAUUGACAGCGCGCCUUAUGUUUGAGUUCUUGUUGUGCUUACUGACCGAUUUUAUGUCGUACAAUGUGCUCAAAAAUCUGUCGAAAUGUGUCACUCCCUAAACUAGAAAUGCAUUCAUGUAAGACAGGCGGGCCUGGAGGACGUGCUAACAACAAUCAAUGCGCUAAUGUUUAAUGCGCCUUACAAUCCGGUGUGCUUUAUGUGUGAACAAAGACACAUUAAUUCACAGUGGGCCUUGUCGUCAGAAAAAUAUGUUACUAAUUUAAGAGUUCUUCGUAAACAGUGGUGUCGCCCCCUGCUGGCCAUGUUGGUAGGUCUUUAGGUAAUAUAAUGGUCACCUUUAUCAGAAUGAGAAAAUAGAGCACAGCUCUCAGUUUAGUUGACAGCAGGUGUAAAAUUUUCUCUCAAACGCUGAAUUUUUCAGAAUAAAUACUCUGAUAAAGUUUUUCACAGGUUAGUUGGGAGAAGACUCGUGUCUCUGGAGUUUGCCGGUUUAGAGCCUUUGGUGUGUUGUGACUUCCUGUUUGUUGGUGUGUGUGUGUGGCGGUGUUAUACCCACUGCCUGCCAGCUUUUUUUUUAUAUCAGCUUUCCAGCUGUUGGCUUCAUAAAACACCUGCUGUCAGCUGCACAAUUCACAGUCGAGCUAAAAUAAGGAUCUCCACAGCUGAACCUCGGAUACUCGGAAAGCGUUGUGCCAACACUGACGAUCACAACCCACUGAUCUGAGCUCUGAUCAGCUGAGCGUGAACUUCUCUCCUGAAUCUGAAGUGGUCCACAGAGAUCUGUGAAGAUCACGUCUCUCCGCCUCCUUUUUAUUAUCAAAUUCAACAUCUUUGGCUCUUUGAGCUCAGCUAAGCAUUUUAUCAAACUUUUCCCACAUUUGUCCGGGCGCUCUCCUGUAAACAGGUUUCCACGGUGACAGAUGACUAAAAGACUGCAGGUCAAAACUAAAUCAGUCUUUAUCUGAUGCUCCUUUGAUAACCCUUCAUUUGUAACGGCCGAGUUAAGGUGUGAAACGACGUGCUAACCUUUAACUGCUGAUCGUCGGUUUUAGAGAAACUUGUUGUGUCAGAGGUUUCUUCCUCUCCAAUAAUCGCAGACAGGAAACACCAUUAACAUUCAUUUGGAGUCGUUCUCUCCUGGCGUUUGAUGAGUGUAAAUCCGAUAUUGGCUCCCCUUUUAUCUUUUUAUGUUUUUGUCUGUGCCAACUCCGCGGGGAAAUAUGUGGCUCCAUCUCGUGCUCCUCGAUGUUUAUCAGCUAUUUUUCAAACUUUUCUGUUUUCUGUUUGCUGCUGGACAGGUACUCCAUCUGAAGAGCCUUAAACAGCUCUAAAUCCUGCACACCAACCUACGUUAUAUUCUUUGUAUUUCAAACAAUCACUGAAGAAGGGCGAGCGCUGAGCGACCGUAUUUUUGUACUGAAAUCUGUCUUGUCAUCUGCUGUGAAAUUCUGUAAAUCCUCCUCUGACAGCAGUUUAAAGGUGAGGAAGGCAGAAACCUGUUAAAGAAGCUUCUGUUUUUGUGGUGUGUAAACAAAAACUCUUCUAAUAUCAGUCAAUAGUUAUUAGUUAUUGAUUAUUUGGUAAUAUAUCGAUAUCUCUGUGUUCUCUUAUGUCUGUGUCGUCAACAUUUGAACAUUUUUGAGCGGUCCGCUCUUUCUGACUGUAAACAAAGCCGUUCUCCACCUCCUCUAACCUGAUUGGUUGUGAGGCAGACGCUGCUCCCCCGUGUCGUUCAGGAGCCCAAACAAAGUUAGCGUGCUACAAUAUCGGACAGUAGAAACCAACCAGAAAGUUCGGAAAAUUGUCUGAAUCCUCCUUUGGCCAAGACUGCCGACACAAGCAAAUAAACAGUCAACCAUAAUCAGUCAGCAAGAAAACCGGUCAACACCAAACCAGUCAACACCAAACCGGUCAACAGGUCAGCAAGAAAACAGUCAACCAUAAACAGUCAACACCAAAACAGUCAACAAGAAAACAGUCAACACCAAACCAGUCAAAAAGAAAACAGUCAACAAGAAAACAGUCAGCAAGAAAACAGUCAGCAAGAAAACAGUCAACAAGAAAACAGUCAGCAAGAAAACGUCAACUAUAAUCAGUCAACAAGAAAACAGUCAACCAUAAACAGUCAACACCAAAACAGUCAACAAGAUAACAGUCAGCAAGAAAACAGUCAACACCAAACCGGUCAAAAAGAAAACAGUUAACAAGAAAACAGUCAACCACAAACAGUCAACACCAAAACAGUCAACAAGAAAACAGUCAGCAAGAAAACAGUCAACACCAAACCGGUCAAAAAGAAAACAGUCAACAAGAAAACAGUCAACAAGAUAACAGUCAACCACAAUCAACAAGAAAACAGUCAACAAGAAAACAGUCAACCACAAACAGUCAACACCAA
rnacentral:lncRNA from 1 species